GCGUGCUCCGCUGCCUGGCUGCUGCGAGUCCUUCCCGCGGCUGUGGGGGAAGGCUGAGCUCUCCGUGCGCCUGGGCGUCGCGGACCCCCCCCGUAAGCGGGGCGCGGGUCUCGAGCCUUUGCGCUCGGCUGGCGGCCGGUUUGAACGGGAGAAAAGGAGCCUCCCUUUGCCGCGGGGCCCCGCGCUGCCCCGUAACUCGGGGACCGGCUAGCGCCCCGGGGCCCCCGGCCUUUUGCGCUUCCGGCGGCGGCGGCGCCGGCCCCCUGUAAGCAGGGCUGAAGCCUCCCGGGCCGCUGCCGUCCGUGCCCAGCCGCGUUUGCCCAGAGCGCCCGCCCCUGACCCCGGCGGCGGCUUCAAGCAAGAGCGCCGGACGCCUCGUCGCCUGGAGGCCGUGCCGCGGGCAGCGGCUGCUGCUCCCGGAGAAGCAAGAGGAGCAACGAGGAGCUGCGAGUCAAGAGUGAGCAGCGAGAGAAGACGGAAGAGAAAGCUCACGGAGAAGAAGGAGGAAGGUGAGGAACGGCGAGUCAAGAGCGAGCAGCGAGAGGAGAGGAGGAAGGCGGAAGAGGAGGAAAGGGAAAGGCGCUCUGGGCAAAGGGACCGCCCUGGAAGCAGGGCUGCGGUCGCGGAAGAGCGUCGCCGGCGCCUUUGGCGCCCGUGCUGGCUUUGCGCUGGGCGACCUCCCUGUAAGCAGGGCUCAGGUCUUUGCUUUAGGUGCCCUUUGGCCGUGCUGCUCCUUGGCCGCCUGGAGAGAGCGACGCCCCUGUAAGGAGGGAGCGAGCGCCCUUCUCCGCGCCUGCGGGGCACGGGGAGCUCGGCGGACCCCCUGCCCGCCCUGUAAGCAGGGCAGGGCUCCUUAACCCCCCCCGCCCCCCGCCCCCUCCCCCCGGCGGCUUUCCGCCCGCUGGCGGCAGCCGGGCCAGCGCGACCCCCCCCGUAGUCGGGGAGCGUCACAGCCCUCGCCCUUUGGCAACACGCGAAGCCCCCCGGCACGUUGAGCGCUCCGGCCUCCGUGCGGCCCGGGGGCAGGCCUGAGCCUCUCCUCCCGCUCCUGGCUCGCGGUGGGUCCCCUCUCGCUGCCGGCCUGGGCUCUCCUUCUCUCCUGGAAAGUCCUGUUUGUCCUCGUGUCUCGUCCGUGUCUCUCUGCUCCUCUUCUCGUCUCUGUCCUCGUGUCUUGUCCUUGUCGGAGUGAGGUGCGAGUGAGCGUGUCCCUUAGGCCCCUGUAAAAAGCGCUGCAGCCUCUUAGCUUUGGCUUCCCAGGAGGGCAAGGAGAGCAGCAGCGGCCGCGGUGGGGUCCUGCCUCGGGCCCAGAUCUGAGGAGGGGGAGAGCUCCGGCUUGCCCCUUGCUUCCCCGGGUGCCCUUGGUCAUGGCGCGGGCAACGGGACCUGCCCGUAGUCGGGGCCCAGGUCCCCGCCCGCGCGGCCGCCUGUCCUCUUUCGGCCUGUGCAAGGAGGAGGCAGCUGGAGCCGUGCACCCUUGUCUUAUUGUAUUUUGGAGCAUCUUCUCCAUCUU